GCGAUGAUGGUGUAAUGGUAGCACGCCCCACUGCACAAUAUGGAUGGCUCUGGUUAGAUUCCAGGUGUCGUC